rnacentral:lncRNA from 1 species
CCCUUCCUACACCCUCUGCUUAUAAGAACAUGAUUCUAUCCCAUUUAAGAGAAACACUUGAGACCAGGCCCUGACAUGUUUUCAAUGAUCUGCAUUAAAAACCAGGAAAACAUAGUCACCACCCCAAGACCCAAUCAGUGCCAAAGCAAUUCUGCUUUUUUCCACAUAGGUAAUGUGAUACCAGCCCAGGACUGAUGAUUACUACUACCAGAAUGCACCUAUUAAAGAGCUCCCCAAGUGCAGGAAGCCAUUAAGGCAAAAAUUAAAGCCAUGUACCAACCUCAGAAUUUAAGAAGUUUUCAAAUACACACACACAUGCAAUGAGUAUGCGGCUCUGUGGAUUUCAGGAAGGCAACGCAUGCCGGUUUCCACACUCCUUGAUCUUUCUGUUGGCCUGGACUUCUCUUCCCCAGACAUCCUCAAAACUUGCUCCCUUAGCACCUUCAAAUCUUUGUUCCAAUGUCACCCCUCAAUAACACCUCUUCCCACUUCUUUUCACUCCCAGCAUUCUGUCUACCCCUCUUCCUGCUUUCUUUCUCUCCUUGGCACUAAUCACCAUCUGACACAUGCAUUAUGUGUUUUACUCAUUCACUCACCAUUCCCUUGUACUCAUAGAAUGUAGGGAUUCUUGACUGUUUGGACUAUUGCGGCUGGAGUAGUGUCUGAUGUGUAGCAGGUGCUCAGUAAACAUUUGUUAAUAGCAGAGUGAACUCCUCCUGAUGGUCUCUGCGUGUCUGAGACCCUGUCCCAGGAAGCUGCAGGCCCUGUGCUUUCUCAGACUGGCUGUGUGGAAGAUGCCAAGUAUAGGAUUAAUAACACAGGACCUCAGCGAAAACCGAGGGUCCAGAAUCCCUGACUCAGCUAUGCCCCUAAUGAACAGGUAACGCAAACUUCUGUCCCUGCAGCUUUAAAAUAAGGGGAAUGCCAAGAAAAUCUACCUUUCAGAAUUAUUAGGAAAUUCAAAUAACAUGUAGGAAGAACCUUGGAAAAGUUAAAGGCAUUCUCCACAUGCAUGAGGAUAUUAUUCUCCAAGAUAAAGCAGUGCUCUCCAUUUUAUUUUCCAAAAACCAAGUAUUCUCAGUUACAUAACAAGAAAGUCUAACCAUGGUUACACGUAAGGGAAACAGCACAACAAUCCAUCAUGACCUCUUCUGUUUCCAAACUUUGACUUGCCCUAGAUAAAGCAACCUGUCUGAAGCCUCAAGAAGUGAUUGUGUGUCUGUGCGACUGUGUACGUGAUGUGUGUGAGUGGGGUGUGUGAUCGACGCUGAUGUGACGUGUGCAUGUGUGUGGGGGGUGUGUGUGUGUGUGACUGUGUACGUGGGGUGUGUGAUCGACGCUGAUGUGACGUGUGCAUGUGUGUGGGGUGUGUGUGUGUGUGACUGUGUACGUGGAGUGUGUGAUCGAUGCUGAUGUGACGUGUGCAUGUGUGGGGUGUGUGUGUGUGUCUGACUGUGUACGUGGUGUGAGUGGGGUGUGUGAUCGACGCUGAUGUGACGUGUGCAUGUGUGGGGUGUGUGCGUGUGUGACUGUGUACGUGGUGUGAGUGGGGUGUGUGAUCGAUGCUGAUGUGACGUGUGCAUGUGUGGGGUGUGUGUGUGUGCCUGUGUACGUGGUGUGAGUGGGGUGUGUGAUUGAUGCUGAUGUGACGUGUGCAUGUGUGGGGUGUGUGUGUGUGUCUGACUGUGUACGUGGUGUGUGUGAGUGGGGUGUGUGAUCGACGCUGAUGUGACGUGUGCAUGUGUGUGGGGUGUGUGUGUGUGUGACUGUGUACGUGGUGUGUGUGAUCGAUGCUGAUGUGACAUGUGCAUGUGUGGGGUGUGUGUGUGACUGUGUACGUGGUGUGUGUGAGUGGGGUGUGUGAUCGACGCUGAUGUGACAUGUGCAUGUGUGGGGUGUGCGUGUGUGUGACUGUGUACGUGGUGUGUGUGAGUGGGGUGUGUGAUCGACGCUGAUGUGACGUGUGCAUGUGUGGGGUGUGUGUGUGUGUGUGACUGUGUACGUGGUGUGUGUGAUCGAUGCUGAUGUGACGUGUGCAUGUGUGGGGUGUGUGUGUGUGUGACUGUGUACGUGGUGUGUGUGAGUGGGGUGUGUGAUCGAUGCUGAUGUGACGUGUGCAUGUGUGGGGUGUGUGUCUGACUGUGUAUGUGGUGUCUGUGAGUGGGGUGUGUGAUAGAUGCUGAUGUGACGUGUGCAUGUGUGUGGGGGGGGUGUGUGUGUGUGACUGUGUAUGUGGUAUGAGUGGUGUGUGUGAUCGAUGCUGAUGUGACGUGUGCAUGUGUGGGGUGUGUGUGUGUGACUGUGUACGUGGUGUGUGUGAGUGGGAUGUGUGAUCGACGCUGAUGUGACAUGUGCAUGUGUGGGGCGUGUGUGUGUUUGUGUACGUGGUGUGAGUGGGGUGUGUGAUCGAUGCUGAUGUGACGUGUGCAUGUGUGGGGUGUGUGUGUGUGUGACUGUGUACGUGGUGUGUGUGAGUGGGGUGUGUGAUCGAUGCUGAUGUGACGUGUGCAUGUGUGGGGUGUGUGUGUGUGUGACUGUGUACGUGGUGUGUGUGAGUGGGGUGUGUGAUCGAUGCUGAUGUGACGUGUGCAUGUGUGGGGUGUGUGUGUGCGACUGUGUACGUGGUGUGUGUGAGUGGGGUGUGUGAUUGAUGCUGAUGUGACGUGUGCAUGUGCGGGGGGUGUGUGUCUAUGUGUAGGGUGGCGGAAAGAGUUUCACCAAAUUUCUGCUGCUAAAGGUAUAUACUUACCCUAACCAACCUCACUCUAGGAGACUGUAAGCAACUGUUUACUGGGGCAAGAAGAUUCUAGACAACGCCUUGGACAGAUAAGGGGAAUACUUGCAGUGGUUGACCAAGUAAGCUACAUCGAAAACAGAGAUUAAUCCUGGUUCUUUGAACAGUGAGCCCCAAAAGGAACUUUUCAUCUGGUCCCUAGUUUAAGUAGAAGGGGGGUGGACUUUCAACUUGAGCUUUUUUUUUUUUUUUUUUUUUUUUAAAGAAAAGGUUAUUCACAGGAGAGGAGCUUGCUUAACACUGAACAGAACUGUUCCCUCACUCUCUCCCAGGUGCCCUGGGUAACUGAGAGACUUUUGUUACUAGGGUCGGCACGAGACCAAGGAAAAUAUCACCCUACUUGUCUAUUUAUAUAAAAUACUCCAACCAUUUCUGUGUCUUUAUGUUUAGGGGUAAUAGCCACACAGCAUAGAUGUUGAUGUUUCAUGCAUGUGAAAUAACACAGUAGAAACCUCCUUUAAAAAAUUACUUUUCUU